ensembl:lncRNA
AAAUACCACCAAAGACUAAGGCACUGCAAACUGACAGAGCAUAAGAGAGAUUUUUAUACAGACACCUUUUGGAAAGAAGUUAUUUCUGCAACACAUCGCUCUAGAGAUUGACUUUGGAGCUGUACAAAGCAUAGCUGUUUCCACGGUAAAAUGCUGACACCUAUUGGUCAAAGUAGGUAGUGCAGCGGGUUCAGUACAGUGAGUAGAAAGAGAGAAUUUGCUACUCUCCGGGCCAUUUAUAAAAUAAGCACAACUUAUGAAGUCCAGUAUUUUUAAUUACAAUGAGCUGAUGUGAUAUGCUGUGGCAGCUAAACCACUUUUGCUCUGUUCUGACGUAUUUUCAUAUGAUCAUUACGCACCACUUUGAUGCAGUAAUUAUGUGGAUGCCCAAAUAUUAAAAAAAAAAAAGCCGCCAUAACUAAAGUUGAACUGGGGGAAAAACUCACUAAAAAUAAUUAUUACAGGGAUUUUUAACAGUAGGUACAAAAAAGCGUGAUUUAAGCGAGCGUGGUUGCUAUGCGUCCCCAGGUUCUAUUUGCAUUGCAUCUUUUGAUAUAGUUCAGACACAUUUCACUCGACGUGUUGUGCAAAGCUACAAGGGAUUUCUGCAAAUUUCUGCAAAUUUCUGCAAAAGUAAGACACCUUUCUGCUCAAGACUUCUUGCAGCCUUACAAGAGUUCAACUCCCACCGUCACGAAGGAAAGCGACCCAGCAUCCAUCAUCCGUCAUGGACAAGCUUACUGUGCCCGUUCACCUCAAAGACCAUAAUUAUCGGAUGAAAAACACUGCAUGCCGGGCCCGUGAUGCAAAGAAACCCAGAGCCUGCAGCAAACAACCAUGCUGCAGCAAGGACCAGGUUAUUAAUUCAACCCUGAGGCCCCGGCGCUCUGAUAGAAUAGCCAGUCAGCCCCAGAAAAGGAAGCGAAGCCCAGCAUCCAGUUCUUCCCGACCUUUGGUUAAACCUCGAAAGAACUCGGUGCCUCCCUCUGCUAUCUCACAUGACGACCUGCCAGUGGCAAAAAAAAUGCCCCCCAGACCCGAGCCAUGCAGUACCGACCACCAGCCAACCAGCUCCGGUGACAGCCCUUUAAAAAUCCACAAUCUCUCAGUGGAAGAUUAUCAGCGACUCUACCAUGAGGUGGUAGAUAGCAUGCUGACGUACGUUUGUCUCCAAAUCUCCUGUCACUUUUUAAAAUCGCCAGCUCUAAAAUGGUUACAGUAGGUUUUUGACCACAUGCAUCAUUUUGAUUGAAUUUCUUUUUGCAGGUACAAGAAUGGCCGCCCUCGUCCCUACAGUUUAGAGCUGGGGAGACGCAUUAAGAAAAAGCUGUGGGAGAGACUGAAUCGUCCUGUGGUGCAGACAUCAACUAACGAGGAUGGACUUGAACACAUUGACAUGGUGUAUGGGCAAAAAGUCAAACUCCCAAACUAUGAUUUUGACAUUUCGAGUUAGCCACAUCCUCAACAUCCACCGAGCAAAAGAGGAAAGGAAAACUGAAUGUAGAGCAGCAGGAGCACUGCUACAAGACAUACAAUCAAAAACUGUGAAACACACAAAUCAACUGUAGAUAAAAUUACUGUAAAUAUAUGACAAAUGUUUUUGUAAAUAGUUCAGAUGUGACUUUAAUGAUUAAAAUGUAAUUUCUGCACA